GACGAACGCUGGCGGCGUGCUUAACACAUGCAAGUCGAACGGAAAGGCCCUGCUUUUGUGGGGUGCUCGAGUGGCGAACGGGUGAGUAACACGUGAGUAACCUGCCCUUGACUUUGGGAUAACUUCAGGAAACUGGGGCUAAUACCGGAUAGGAGCUCCUGCUGCAUGGUGGGGGUUGGAAAGUUUCGGCGGUUGGGGAUGGACUCGCGGCUUAUCAGCUUGUUGGUGGGGUAGUGGCUUACCAAGGCUUUGACGGAUAGCCGGCCUGAGAGGGUGACCGGACACAUUGGGACUGAGAUACGGCCCAGACUCCUACGGGAGGCAGCAGUGGGGAAUAUUGCACAAUGGGCGGAAGCCUGAUGCAGCAGCGCCGCGUGCGGGAUGACGGCCUUCGGGUUGUAAACCGCUUUCGCCUGUGACGAAGCGUGAGUGACGGUAAUGGGUAAAGAAGCACCGGCUAACUACGUG
rnacentral:rRNA from 1 species